rnacentral:lncRNA from 1 species
AAUUAUAUUAUUUCACCAAUUAAUUUAUGAAUAUCAUGCAUUAUUUUCAAUAAUUUUUUAAAAUAAAAAACUUAUGAUAAGCAGCCCUACUUUUCAAAGAAAAGGUCAAGUUAAUUGAGUGUGAGCAUGAGCCAGACUUGAAUUUUGGGAGAACAAUACACAAGUUUAAGCCAUUGGAGCAUGGCUUUGUGCACUUUCUUGGUCAAAGAAAUUAUGAAUGUAGUGAGUUCAGUUACCAUCAGCGUAACCACGCAUCAUACUAUCAUCAACUGAUGUGAGAGACCAAACAAUAAUGAAAAAAAAAAUAUUUCCUAUUUUUUAGGGUUUUAAUUACGUCAGAAUUGACUUUACCACAUUUGUUAAAUGAAUUGGUGGUAGUUAUUUAAAAGAGUAAGAAUUUAAUUGAAAGUAAGUCUUAUUUACUUAUUUACAAUUUAUUUUUUAUGGAAGAAAUAAUUAUGUGAAAUUUUGAUAGAUUAUUAAUUUUAUGUGCAUGUUUCCUUUUCUUGGUAUACUUAGGGAUGGCAAAAAUCCCCACGGGGACGGGUACCCUCGGGGAUUUUCCCCAUUCGGGGAGGGUAUGGGGAUAAUUUUAUACCCAAUUUUUUAUUCGGGGAGGGGACGGGGAAAAUUUUUUACCCAAUUUUUUAUUCGGGGAGGGGACGGGGAUGAGGUUGAAUCCCCAUCCCCUACCCAUUUCCCCAUUUUAAUUUUUAAUUUUAUUUUUAUUUUUAAAAUUACUAAUAAAUAAAUAACAAAAUUAUAAAUAUUGGCAAGAUAUGAGUGGAAUUUUNNNNNNNNNNNNNNNNNNNNNNNNNNNNNNNNNNNNNNNNNNNNNNNNNNNNNNNNNNNNNNNNNNNNNNNNNNNNNNNNNNNNNNNNNNNNNNNNNNNNGAAUAUUACUUUUCUAUGGUUUAUGAUGAUGUUAAAGAGUUGUAUGUUGGGAAAGUGGUCACCCUUUGUCGGGAAUUAGUGAAAGAGUAUCAAUUGAAGUUUUCACCAACUGUUUAUUGCUUUGAUUAUAUUGGUAGUAGUUCUUCUACUAGAUCUACAGGGGUUUUUAUAAGAAAGCAACCAAAUGGAUGACAGGUUUUGAUAAUUAUGUAAACAAUGGAGAUUGUGCAGUUGUUGCAGAAAAAUUAGAUUCAUAUUUGGAUGAGAAAGUUAUACCCCGGAUGGAAGAUUUUAAUAUUUUGAGUUGGUGGAAGACAAACGCUAAUAGGCAUCCUACAUUAGCUCGAAUUGCUAGAGAUAUUUUAGCAAUUCUAAUUAUAACAGUUGCUUUUAAAUCAGCUUUUAACACCGGUGGUAGAGUUGUGAGCCCACACCGUAACAAACUUCAUCCAAGCACAUUGGAGGCCUUAAUGUGCUGUCAAAGUUGGUUACGAGCUUACAAUAGCAGUAUGAGUUUAUUUUACAUUGUAAUUAUAUUAUACAAUUAUUAAUAUUUGCACUUAUAAGUUACGUUACUUAUAUCAUUUUCAUUGUUUUAGGUUUGAAAUCUGAGACUAUCUCUCAAUUUGCCACAUUUCUCGAGGAAGAACAGGAGGAGGUAAAUAGUUUUAUUAAAAAUAUUAAUUAAGUAUCUACAUUUAUUUCAUUUAUUUUAUUGUCGAUAUAAAAAUAAUUUUUUUUCUUUUUAUUGUAAGAUUAUGAAGAUUGAGUCAUUGACAAAGAUAAUUAUUUUAAUAAUUUAUAUUUUGAAUGUGACUUUGUAAUGAAUCAAUAUUAAUGUAAGAUAUAUUUUGAACUUUAUUUUUAUCUGAAUUUUUUAUUUUAAUAUGAUUAAUUUAAAAUCGAAAAUAAAAAAAUGUAUUAAACUAUUAAUUAUUCGGGGACCGGGGACCCUUGGGGAUCCCCUGUUAUUAUUCGGGGAGGGGAUGAGGAUUCUCUCAAGCAAUUCUGACGGGGACGGGGAGGGGAUGGGGGUAUACGCAAAAUAUCGGGGAUGGAUAUGGGGAGAUUGGUCCCCUCCCCUCCCCUCCGCUCCCCAUUGCCAUCCCUAGGUAUACUCACCUACUUUUGGUGAAUUUGUGGAGUCAAAAUAAUGACACGAAUUUAGAUAAACGUCGAUGUAACCAAACUCAAAUAAAAUAAUAAGUCGCAUUGAUAUAGGAAGUCUUUGUUGACACCUUAGUAUUUCAAAAAUGAAUAUCUUUUUAUAAACAUAAUUCAGAAACAGAAAAUAUUCUAUAUAUUGAGAAUAGGAUCAAAAUCGAUUGAAUUUUGAAGAUUUGAAAUUCGAAACAAAAAUUUAAAUUUUCUUUUGACUUCCUUUUAUUUAAACAAGCCCGAAAC